UUGCUAGUAAUCGCAGAUCAGCAUGCUGCGGUGAAUACGUUCCCGGGCCUUGUACACACCGCCCGUCACACCAUGGGAGUCAGUAACGCCCGAAGCCGGUGACCCAACCGAUAAGGAGGGAGCCGUCGAAGGUGGGACCGAUAACUGGGGUGAAGUCGUAACAAGGUAGC
rnacentral:rRNA from 1 species